AUGGUAGGAGGUGAUUUUAAUGAGAUCUUGUACUCACACGAGAAGGAAGGCGGCCCUCCGAGACCAAUGAAUAUGAUGCAAAAAUUUUGAGAUGCACUGGUAGACUGUGAGUUGGAGGACAUGGGGUUCACCGGUGAUCAGUUCACUUGGAGAAGACGUAGACUGCGUGAACGUUUGGAUAGAAGUGUUUGCAACGGCCAAUUCCAUGGCUUAUUUCCUAGCGCCAAGGUCACUAAUACCUCACAUACUAAGUCAGAUCAUAGACCUGUACUA
rnacentral:rRNA from 1 species